CACACCCAGAGGUUUCCAGUCAAUAGGAUGAAACCUAAUAUCAGGACGCCAGGGAGGGCAUCUCUGAGGAGGUGACUGCAAGUUGAGAUUAAAAUGAAGAAAGAACCAUCCAUGCGAAGAUUGCUUAGGCUGCUGAGGCAGGAAUGGGGUUUGGUGGAGCGAGAGAGGCAGCAGGCAGACCAGGCCGGAGUCACGUGGUCGGACAGACGGGAGAGGAUGGCGAUCAGGGAAACCUGAGUGCCUGUUCUCAUGAAGACUGCCAGCCCAGUCGGUUCUCCGAGGACCUGAAAAACCAGACCUCAAAGGAACAUUCUGCUUUGCCAACAUUCCCUGUGUCGCAGUGUUUGCUGACUUCACAAACACAUCUAGAUGAAAAUAUGAAAAGCCCUGUAAAAGGGUAAACGUGUGAAAUAAGGACCCUCUGGGAUCUCAAGGAAUUUACAGAUCCUUGAAUUUUAUCACUGUGCUUAUUUUUUAAUUAAAGACAAUAACUGCUCCUUACAGGUACUUAUUGACAAAUAAAAACGAUGAUGUCA
rnacentral:lncRNA from 1 species